rnacentral:rRNA from 1 species
UACGUAGGGGGCAAGCGUUGUCCGGAAUCAUUGGGCGUAAAGCGCGUGUAGGCGGUUCAGUAAGUCUGCUGUGAAAGUCCAGGGCUCAACCCUGGGAUGCCGGUGGAUACUGCUGGGCUAGAGUACGGAAGAGGCGAGUGGAAUUCCCGGUGUAGCGGUGAAAUGCGCAGAUAUCGGGAAGAACACCCGUGGCGAAGGCGGCUCUCUGGGACGGUACUGACGCUGAGACGCGAAAGCGUGGGGAGCGAACAGG